UGGGGGAUAUUGCACAAUGGGCGAAAGCCUGAUGCAGCGACGCCGCGUGGGGGAUGAAGGCCUUCGGGUUGUAAACUUCUUUUGCUCUGAACAAGGCAUUCUAAUGGGUGUGUUGAGUGUAGGGGUUGAUUAGCGCCGGCUAACUACGUGCCAGCAGCCGCGGUAAUACGUAGGGCGCGAGCGUUGUCCGGAAUUAUUGGGCGUAAAGGGCUGGUAGGUGGCUGGUUGCGUCUGUCGUGAAAGCACAUGGCUUAACUGUGGGGUUGCGGUGGGUACGGGCUGGCUUGAGUGCAGUAGGGGAGGGUGGAAUGCCUGGUGUAGCGGUGGAAUGCGCAGAUAUCAGGAGGAAUACCGGUGGCGAAGGCGGGUCGCUGGGCUGUUACUGACACUGAGGAGGGAAAGCAUGGGGAGCGAACAGG
rnacentral:rRNA from 1 species